AUACGGAGGAUGCGAGCGCUAUCCGGAUUUAUUGGGUUUAAAGGGAGCGUAGGUGGGAUAUUAAGUCAGCUGUGAAAGUUUGGGGCUCAACCUUAAAAUUGCAGUUGAUACUGGUUUCCUUGAGUACGGUACAGGUGGGCGGAAUUCGUGGUGUAGCGGUGAAAUGCUUAGAUAUCACGAAGAACUCCGAUCGCGAAGGCAGCUCACCGGGCCGGAACUGACACUGAUGCUCGAAAGUGCGGGUAUCAAACAGGAUUAGAUACCCUGGUAGUCCGCACAGUAAACGAUGAAUACUCGCUGUUUGCGAUACACAGUAAGCGGCCAAGCGAAAGCGUUAAGUAUUCCACCUGGGGAGUACGCCGGCAACGGUGAAACUUAAAGGAAUCGACGGGG
rnacentral:rRNA from 1 species